rfam:Triticum aestivum genome assembly, contig: Triticum_aestivum_CS42_TGACv1_scaffold_030754_1BL
GUAGUACUCCCUCCGUUCGGAAAUACUCGUCCAAGAAAUGAAUGCAUUUAGAUGUAUUUUAGUUGUAGAUACAUCCAAUUUUGUGACGAGUAAUUCUGAACGGAGGGAGUAGGUC